UACAGAGGGGGCAAGCGUUAUUCGGAAUUAUUGGGCGUAAAGGGAGCGUAGGCGGCGUGGUAAGUCAGAUGUGAAAUCCCGGGGCUCAACCCCGGAACUGCAUCCGAUACUGCCAUGCUUGAGGGUUGGAGAGGUAGCUGGAAUUAUCGGUGUAGCAGUGAAAUGCGUGGAUAUCGAUAGGAACACUCGUGGCGAAGGCGAGCUACUGGACAACAUCUGACGCUGAGGCUCGAAGGCUAGGGGAGCAAAAGGG
rnacentral:rRNA from 1 species